CUCCCCUUUGGAAGUGGAUUAAAGGCCUGGAGCACAGUGGGCCGGGCCCUUCUUUUUCCUCCCUGCCCUUAAUCCCCUUGCUGCCCCACACCUUCGGGGCACGUGGCCUUUGGGCCACCCACGGGGCUGGCUCUCGACCUGCUCUCUGCUUGGAGAAUGUCAACUCUCAACGACACUGCAGCUGAGACCUCACAGACAGUAGGACAGCAGAAUCCGAGCCCUCCUGCUCAUUCUAGAACCACAAGAUGCCCCUUGGGAGAGGGCUAGGAACGGACGGAGACUGCGCGAUGUAGCUACCACAUCCCCCUGCUGCUGCUGGGAUGCCCUGGAAUAAAGUCAGGACAAGAACGAAGGGCUGGGUCAAUUUCUUUCUUUCUUUCUUUU